rfam:Haemonchus contortus, ISE/inbred ISE, WGS project CAVP01000000 data, contig: Hcontortus_23368
AUUGCAUUUUCUUCAGACUGGGCCGUUGAUGUGUUCUUGUACAAUGCUAAGAACACUCUUUGACUUUGGUUUGAAGAAUUACAUGCAAU